GUGGAUCAUAAGGUCAGGAGUUUGAGACCAGCCUGGCCAAUUUGGUGAAACCCUGUCCAUACUAAAAAUAUAAAAUUUAGCCAGGCAUAGUGGCAUACACCUGUAGUCCCACCUACUCAGGAGGCUGAGGCAGGAGAGUCACUUGAACCUGAGAGACAGAGGUUGCAGUGAGCCGAGAUUGCGCCACUGCACUCCCGCUUGGGGGACUGAGCGAAACUCCAUCUCAAAAAACAAAAAACAAAAAAGUCACCUUGUAACUCAUCUCUUUUUAUUGUAAGUUUAUUAAAAGUGAAGAGGACAACAAUGAGAAGGAAGAGAAAGGGUUAGCAAGCACUGCCUCCUGGGGCAUGGGGCUGUGCAGGUGUCCCGGCCACUUCUUCCUUCAUACUUCCCUUAGAGAACUUGCUCUGCUACAAGCAGUGGGGUUGGACUAAAAGUGAUUAAAAUACCACAGGCAUAAGGAGAAAAGGAGAAUAUGUAGUAGUAAUAAUUAAUAGUAUAAAUUAUUUUCUUCAUAUGAUAUGAGUAAUAAUAUUAACUCAUUUCACCAUUAAGAUUGCUUAUGCUGAAGCUCUUCCAUUUAGAAUACUGUCAAUGUCAUUUACUGGUAUGAACUAAAGUCCCCCUUCUUUUCUACUCACUGUGAACCUUAGUAAAACACCAGCAUAUCUCACCUCCCUUUCUGAUUGGCCAAUGCUUCCAGAGACUGAAUGUUGGGAAAACCUAGUAGCCAAACAAUUCUAGGACAGAAUAACACUUUUAUAUUUGGUUUCCCCAUCUUACUACCUUUAGUUAGAGUUUUAAAAAAGAAAUUCAAGCCCAUUAAAAUAUGCCUGGUCAAUGAAAUGCUUCCUUUUAUUGUGUUCUAUUGUACUUUGUUUUUCAAAACAUUCUAAAAAUAGUAUCUUUGGUUUAAUAUUUUGGAUUAUAUAUUAUAAUCUGAGGAGCAUUUUGCUUAUAUAGAAUCCAGAUAUAUUUCUGUUACUUAGGAGUUGUUACUUACAUGUGCAAUACCGUAUCCUGCACGUGGGAAUUUUCAGAAUUGUAGAUAGCAUAACUCUCCCUGCUCCUGUUGUUUUGAGCCUAGGUAUAAUUUUUUUUUUUUUUUUUUUAGAAAAAGAUGUAUUUAGCUUUAAUUUCUAUUUAUGCUAAAGAUAGUUAUAGUCUGUCGAUAUAGUACCAACUAUUUUUAUUUUGACAUAAUUCAAUUAUUUCAUUUGACAUGUCUGGCUGAAUCAAGACAUUAAAAAAUUGGAUCUAUGUUGAGACCAUCCUGGCUAACACGGUUUCUUUACUAAAAAUACAAAAAAUUAUCCAGGUGUGGUGGUGGGCACCUGUAGUCCCAGCUACUCGGGAGGCUGAGGCAGGAGAAUGGUGUGAAUCCAGGAGGCAGAGCUUGCAGUGAGCUGAGAUUGCGCCACUGCACUCCAGCCUGGGCAACACAGUGAGACUCCGCCUUGAAAAAAAAAAAAAAAAAA
rnacentral:lncRNA from 1 species